GUGGCUGUGGCUCAGUGGUAGAGCACUUGCCUAGCAUGUGUGAGGCCCUGGGUUCGAUUCUCAGCACCACA
rfam:Ictidomys tridecemlineatus contig019960, whole genome shotgun sequence.